ACACUGAUGGUGAAACGGUAUCAUGCUUGCCUUCCACCGUUCCGUUUAGCAAGCGGCGUGGGUUCGACUCCCGCUCAGUGUA